rnacentral:rRNA from 1 species
UACGGAAGGAGCAGUGGGGAAUAUUGCACAAUGGGCGCAAGCCUGAUGCAGCCAUGCCGCGUGUAUGAAGAAGGCCUUCGGGUUGUAAAGUACUUUCAGUCGUGAGGAAGGUGUUAAGGUUAAUAACCUUAGCAAUUGACGUUAGCGACAGAAGAAGCACCGGCUAACUCCGUGCCAGCAGCCGCGGUAAUACGGAGGGUGCGAGCGUUAAUCGGAAUUACUGGGCGUAAAGGGCACGCAGGCGGUUAAUUAAGUUGGAUGUGAAAUCCCCGGGCUUAACCUGGGAAUGGCAUUCAAGACUGGUUAGCUAGAGUCUUGUAGAGGGGGUAGAAUUCCAUGUGUAGCGGUGAAAUGCGUAGAGAUGUGGAGGAAUACCGGUGGCGAAGGCGGCCCCUGGACAAAGACUGACGCUCAUGUGCGAAAGCGUGGGGAGCAAACAGGGAUUAGAUA